rnacentral:rRNA from 1 species
GACAGAGGGUGCAACCGUUGUUCGGAAUUACUGGGCGUAAAGCGCGUGUAGGCUGCUCGGAAAGUCGGAUGUGAAAGCCCUGGGCUCAACCUAGGAAGUGCACUCGAAACUCCCGAACUGGAGUCCCGGAGAGGAAGGUGGAAUUCUCGGUGUAGAGGUGAAAUUCGUAGAUAUCGAGAGGAACAUCGGUGGCGAAGGCGGCCUUCUGGACGGUGACUGACGCUGAGACGCGAAAGCGUGGGGAGCAAACAGG